UACGGGGGGGGCAAGCGUUGUUCGGAAUUACUGGGCGUACAGGGCUCGUAGGUGGCCAACUAAGUCAGACGUGAAAUCCCUCGGCUUAACCGGGGAACUGCGUCUGAUACUGGAUGGCUUGAGUUCGGGAGAGGGAUGCGGAAUUCCAGGUGUAGCGGUGAAAUGCGUAGAUAUCUGGAGGAACACCGGUGGCGAAGGCGGCAUCCUGGACCGACACUGACACUGAGGAGCGAAAGCCAGGGGAGCAAACGGG
rnacentral:rRNA from 1 species